rnacentral:misc_RNA from 1 species
GCAAACUUGGUCAUUUAGAGGAAGUAAAAGUCGUAACAAGGUUUUCGUAGGUGAACCUGCGGAAGGAUCAUUACUGAAGUCCAGGGGGAGUGCUGGCCUCUGCGCAUGUGCACCCUCCUCCUCUUCAUCCACACACACCUGUGCACCUUUCGAGGCGGGGCUUCCCGUGCCCGGAGCAGGCCUGGUCUAGGCUUUCAGAAGCCUAGAUUUGGCCCGAAGACCCGCCUACAUUUUCAUAAACUCUUUGUAUGACCGGAACGUGUCCGCGGCUUCGCCGCAAAACCAAUACACAACUUUCAACAACGGAUCUCUUGGUUCUCGCAUCGAUGAAGAACGCAGC